UAAUUUCAAGGCGGGGCAGAUACUUUUUUCUGCCACCGAAUACAUUAGCAUGGGAUAAUGGAAUAGGACCCUGACCUCCUAUUUUCAGUUGGUUUUAAACUCAACAGUGAGGUUCAUAUCAGGGUAAUGAUUAAUAGGGAUAGUUGGGGGCAUUAAUAUUUAAUUGUCAGAGGUGAAAUUCUUGGAUUUAUGAAAGAUUAACUUCUGCGAAAGCGUUUGCCAAGGAUGUUUUCAUUAAUCAAGAACGAAAGUUAGGGGAUCGAAGACGAUCACAUACCGUCGUAGUCUUAACCAUAAACGAUGCCGACCAGCGAUUAGGAGACGUUGAAUACAAAACACCGCUGUUAAUCCUUUCGGGGGUUAAUGGUUGGUGAAUGACUCCCCUAGCAGCUUGUGAGAACCGUUCAUUGUGUGAAAGCC
rnacentral:rRNA from 1 species